GACAUUUUGGGGAGUCCACUAGUCAGAAAUAAAUUCAUAUCUUAAACAAGGAGUUUACUACCUCAAAUGAGACAAGGAGUAUGAGAAUU